rnacentral:rRNA from 1 species
GUGGGGAAUAUUGCACAAUGGAGGAAACUCUGAUGCAGCGACGCCGCGUGAGUGAAGAAGUAAUUCGUUAUGUAAAGCUCUAUCAGCAGGGAAGAUAGUGACGGUACCUGACUAAGAAGCUCCGGCUAAAUACGUGCCAGCAGCCGCGGUAAUACGUAUGGAGCAAGCGUUAUCCGGAUUUACUGGGUGUAAAGGGAGUGUAGGUGGCCAUGCAAGUCAGAAGUGAAAAUCCGGGGCUCAACCCCGGAACUGCUUUUGAAACUGUAAGGCUAGAGUGCAGGAGGGGUGAGUGGAAUUCCUAGUGUAGCGGUGAAAUGCGUAGAUAUUAGGAGGAACACCAGUGGCGAAGGCGGCUCACUGGACUGUAACUGACACUGAGGCUCGAAAGCGUGGGGAGCAAACAGGA